rnacentral:rRNA from 1 species
CAGCCGCCGCGGUAAUACGUAGGUGGCAAGCGUUGUCCGGAAUUAUUGGGCGUAAAGCGCGCGCAGGCGGUCCCUUAAGUCUGAUGUGAAAGCCCACGGCUCAACCGUGGAGGGUCAUUGGAAACUGGGGGACUUGAGUGCAGAAGAGGAAAGUGGAAUUCCACGUGUAGCGGUGAAAUGCGUAGAGAUGUGGAGGAACACCAGUGGCGAAGGCGACUUUCUGGUCUGUAACUGACGCUGAGGCGCGAAAGCGUGGGGAGCAAACAGGAUUAGAUGCCCUGGUAGUCCACGCCGUAAACGAUGAGUGCUAAGUGUUAGGGGGUUUCCGCCCCUUAGUGCUGCAGCUAACGCAUUAAGCACUCCGCCUGGGGAGUACGGCCGCAAGGCUGAAACUUAAAGGAAUUGGCGGG